rnacentral:sRNA from 1 species
CUCUGCCUUCUCCUACCCAGUCUCUUCCCCAACUCUCCCCACCCCUCGUGCUCUCCUCCCCGCUUGCCUCCCGUUCUUCCCCGCCCGCUCCAUCCGGGUCGCUGACGGCUGUCUCUGGACUGGACAGCAGUGGCGUCCGCUUUUCUCUAAGGAACCCGAUAAGAACUCCAUUUUCUGUUGAUGUGGAGACAUAGGGUACCUCCAACUUUCCGGGGUUUCAGAAGAGAAUUUUUUAUUGAAACUGGAAGACCAAAAUAAUUACAAGCAUGUUGUGCUGGGGAAAUGCAUCCUUUGGACAGCUAGGUUUGGGUGGAAUUGAUGAAGAAAUUGUACUAGAGCCCAGAAAAAGUGACUUCUUUAUAAAUAAAAGGGUCCGAGAUGUAGGAUGUGGACUCAGACAUACUGUGUUUGUUCUGGAUGAUGGAACAGUGUACACAUGUGGAUGUAAUGAUCUAGGACAGCUAGGUCAUGAAAAAUCCAGAAAGAAACCAGGACCCUACAUCUGAGGAAUUUCAAGAGCAUUACACAAUAACUCAUGGUUCCUUUCAAAAUGCUUGUGACACAAUUUGCAAGAAUUAUCCUCAUCUUAGGGGAUAAAUUUACGGAGAAAUGGCAGCACACGUUG